AGAGUUUGAUCCUGGCUCAGAUUGAACGCUGGCGGCAGGCCUAACACAUGCAAGUCGAGCGGUAGAGAGAAGCUUGCUUCUCUUGAGAGCGGCGGACGGGUGAGUAAUGCCUAGGAAUCUGCCUGGUAGUGGGGGAUAACGUUCGGAAACGGACGCUAAUACCGCAUACGCCCUACGGGAGAAAGCAGGGGACCUUCGGGCCUUGCGCUAUCAGAUGAGCCUAGGUCGGAUUAGCUAGUUGGUGAGGUAAUGGCUCACCAAGGCGACGAUCCGUAACUGGUCUGAGAGGAUGAUCAGUCACACUGGAACUGAGACACGGUCCAGACUCCUACGGGAGGCAGCAGUGGGGAAUAUUGGACAAUGGGCGAAAGCCUGAUCCAGCCAUGCCGCGUGUGUGAAGAAGGUCUUCGGAUUGUAAAGCACUUUAAGUUGGGAGGAAGGGCAGUAAAUUAAUACUUUGCUGUUUUGACGUUACCGACAGAAUAAGCACCGGCUAACUCUGUGCCAGCAGCCGCGGUAAUACAGAGGGUGCAAGCGUUAAUCGAAAUUACUGGGCGUAAAGCGCGCGUAGGUGGUUUGUUAAGUUGGAUGUGAAAUCCCCGGGCUCAACCUGGGAACUGCAUUCAAAACUGACUGACUAGAGUAUGGUAGAGGGUGGUGGAAUUUCCUGUGUAGCGGUGAAAUGCGUAGAUAUAGGAAGGAACACCAGUGGCGAAGGCGACCACCUGGACUAAUACUGACACUGAGGUGCGAAAGCAUGGGGAGCAAACAGGAUUAGAUACCCUGGUAGUCCACGCCGUAAACGAUGUCAACUAGCCGUUGGAAGCCUUGAGCUUUUAGUGGCGCAGCUAACGCAUUAAGUUGACCGCCUGGGGAGUACGGCCGCAAGGUUAAAACUCAAAUGAAUUGACGGGGGCCCGCACAAGCGGUGGAGCAUGUGGUUUAAUUCGAAGCAACGCGAAGAACCUUACCAGGCCUUGACAUCCAAUGAACUUUCUAGAGAUAGAUUGGUGCCUUCGGGAACAUUGAGACAGGUGCUGCAUGGCUGUCGUCAGCUCGUGUCGUGAGAUAUUGGGUUAAGUCCCGUAACGAGCGCAACCCUUGUCCUUAGUUACCAGCACGUAAUGGUGGGCACUCUAAGGAGACUGCCGGUGACAAACCGGAGGAAGGUGGGGAUGACGUCAAGUCAUCAUGGCCCUUACGGCCUGGGCUACACACGUGCUACAAUGGUCGGUACAGAGGGUUGCCAAGCCGCGAGGUGGAGCUAAUCCCAUAAAACCGAUCGUAGUCCGGAUCGCGGUCUGCAACUCGACUGCGUGAAGUCGGAAUCGCUAGUAAUCGCGAAUCAGAAUGUCGCGGUGAAUACGUUCCCGGGCCUUGACUCAACGCCCGUC
rnacentral:rRNA from 1 species